GGGGGCCCGCAAGCGGUGGAGCAUGUGGUUUAAUUCGACGCAACGCGAAGAACCUUACCUGGGCUCGAAAUGUAGUGGAAUCCGGCAGAAACGUCGGCGUCUAGCAAUAGACCGCUAUAUAGGUGCUGCAUGGCUGUCGUCAGCUCGUGUCGUGAGAUGUUGGGUUAAGUCCCGCAACGAGCGCAACCCUUAUCUUCAGUUGCUACCAUUUAGUUGAGCACUCUGACGAAACCGCCUCGGAUAACGGGGAGGAAGGUGGGGAUGACGUCAAGUCCUCAUGGCCUUUAUGUCCAGGGCUACACACGUGCUACAAUGGCCGGUACAAACCGCUGCAAACCCGCGAGGGGGAGCUAAUCGGAAAAAGCCGGCCUCAGUUCGGAUUGGAGUCUGCAACUCGACUCCAUGAAGCUGGAAUCGCUAGUAAUCGUGGAUCAGCAUGCCACGGUGAAUACGUUCCCGGGCCUUGUACACACC
rnacentral:rRNA from 1 species